UUCCGUAGGGGUGACCUGCGGAGGGAUCAUUACCGAGUUUACAACUCCCAAACCCCUGUGAACAUACCACUUGUUGCCUCGGCGGAUCAGCCCGCUCCCGGUAAAACGGGACGGCCCGCCAGAGGACCCCUAAACUCUGUUUCUAUAUGUAACUUCUGAGUAAAACCAUAAAUAAAUCAAAACUUUCAACAACGGAUCUCUUGGUUCUGGCAUCGAUGAAGAACGCAGCAAAAUGCGAUAAGUAAUGUGAAUUGCAGAAUUCAGUGAAUCAUCGAAUCUUUGAACGCACAUUGCGCCCGCCAGUAUUCUGGCGGGCAUGCCUGUUCGAGCGUCAUUUCAACCCUCAAGCACAGCUUGGUGUUGGGACUCGCGUUAAUUCGCGUUCCUCAAAUUGAUUGGCGGUCACGUCGAGCUUCCAUAGCGUAGUAGUAAAACCCUCGUUACUGGUAAUCGUCGCGGCCACGCCGUUAAACCCCAACUUCUGAAUGUUGACCUCGGAUCAGGUAGGAAUACCCGCUGAACUUAAGCAUAUCAAAAG
rnacentral:rRNA from 1 species